rnacentral:rRNA from 1 species
UAGGGAAUCUUCGGCAAUGGACGAAAGCCUGACCGAGCAACGCCGCGUGAGUGAAGAAGGUCUUCGGAUCGUAAAACUCUGUUGUUAGAGAAGAACAAGGACGUUAGUAACUGAACGUCCCCUGACGGUAUCUAACCAGAAAGCCACGGCUAACUACGUGCCAGCAGCCGCGGUAAUACGUAGGUGGCAAGCGUUGUCCGGAUUUAUUGGGCGUAAAGCGAGCGCAGGCGGUUUCUUAAGUCUGAUGUGAAAGCCCCCGGCUCAACCGGGGAGGGUCAUUGGAAACUGGGAGACUUGAGUGCAGAAGAGGUGGGUGGAAUUCCAUGUGUAGCGGUGAAAUGCGUAGAUAUAUGGAGGAACACCAGUGGCGAAGGCGGCUCACUGGUCUGUAACUGACGCUGAGGCUCGAAAGCGUGGGGAGCAAACAGG